rnacentral:sRNA from 1 species
GGGAGUGAAGGACGGAAGAGGCCCUGCGGAGGCGGCGGUGCAGCGCUCCGGUGGAAUGAAUCUUACUUGUUGAAUAUCUUCUGGUUACUAGUUGGAUUCAUUUGUGAAAGAAUCAUUUUCCCCUGUGUGGAAGACACUUAGUGGCAUAUUUAAAUUGCCGGAUCAAAAAGCUUUUUGAUUUCCCAAAGGAGGGACAUACCACUAUAUCAGAUAAGCUUGACAUUACAGCCAAGAUGGUGCUGUCCCAGAGACAACGAGAUGAACUGUUAUGGAAUUAGAAUCAAAGCUAAAUGAAGCAAAAGAAGAAUUUACGUCAGGUGGACCUCUUGGUCAGAAACGAGACCCAAAAGAAUGGAUUCCCCGUCCGCCAGAAAAAUACGCAUUGAGUGGUCACAGGAGUCCAGUCACUCGAGUCAUUUUCCAUCCUGUGUUCAGUGUUAUGGUCUCUGCUUCAGAGGAUGCUACAAUUAAGAUAUGACCAUUAAACUAUGGGAUUUUCAGGGCUUUGAAUGCAUCAGAACCAUGCACGGCCAUGACCACAAUGUUUCUUCAGUAGCCAUCAUGCCCAAUGGAGAUCAUAUAGUGUCUGCCUCAAGGGAUAAAACUAUAAAAAUGUGGGAAGUGCAAACUGGCUACUGUGUGAAGACAUUCACAGGACACAGAGAAUGGAUUCCUGAGAGAUGUCUCUGGAAGGGAAAGUUUUGAGAACUAAUGGCUAUUUUUGAGGACAAAAAUUACAUCUUAAGCUGAUUCCUUAAAUACAUACACAUGAAUUGUUUAAGGGUAAGCCACAACAUCUAGAAAUCACUCAUAGAUACUGAACAAUAAAGGAGAAUGGUACCGAUGCAGGAGGAAGCAAGCGUGUCUUCCCCCUGUAGCACACAGCGACUUGCGUUGACAAAGGAGGAGGAAACGAUUACUCUGUAAACAAAGUUAUCCUUACUUGGGAGAUUGCCACAGCCUGCUGCUGAGUUGAGUUACCAGACAUCCUCCAUGUGAGAAGCAGCGAACAUUGAAUCUCAGGGAUGGCCCACAACUGGGUCCACAUGUAAUGAGCCCUGUUUAAUAACGAAGGGGUGGGGGAGAGCAGUCCGUCUACAACCUGGAAUCAGAUUUGCAAAGGUUUCCUGCACUGCUGUCUGACACUGUCCUGUUGAUGCCCUUUCUGACUGUUCUCUGUUUUCUCUGUCUGCUGUCUAACCCUGUGCCUUGCCUGGGAUAAGGACAAUGAUGAGGUUACUGGUUUGGAUUGUAAGUAGAGGACUUUUAUUAAUUGGUUUAGAGGUUCACUGCUGCUUUGUCACUUUCUCAAUCCAAUUGGCCACUUAUUUAAGAAAUAAAAAGCUGGUAGAAUUGCA